CUACGGGUUGCAGCAGUGGGGAAUAUUGGACAAUGGGGGAAACCCUGAUCCAGCAAUGCCGCGUGUGUGAAGAAGGCCUGCGGGUUGUAAAGCACUUUCGGUUGGGAGGACUGCUUCUAGCACUAAUAUUGUUGGAAGUUGACGUUACCUUCAGAAGAAGCACCGGCUAACUCCGUGCCAGCAGCCGCGGUAAUACGGAGGUGCAAGCGUUAAUCGGAAUUACUGGGCGUAAAGCGCGCGUAGGCGGCUAGAUCAGUCGGGUGUGAAAGCCCCGGGCUUAACCUGGGAACUGCAUCCGAUACUGUCUAGCUUGAGUACAGGAGAGGAGAGUGGAAUUCCACAUGUAGCGGUGAAAUGCGUAGAUAUGUGGAGGAACACCAAUGGCGAAGGCAGCUCUCUGGCCUGAUACUGACGCUGAGGUACGAAAGCGUGGGGAGCAAACAGGAUUAGAUACCCCCGUAGUC
rnacentral:rRNA from 1 species